AGAAAGUUUUGUGAAUAAAUUUAUCAAGUUGAUAAUGUGUUUUACAACUGGCGAGGUUAAGAUAUUUCCUUUGUUCAGAGCUUGUCUGGUUACCAGGGACUGAUUAAUGAUGAUAUUAAUGUCUGUUGUU